rnacentral:rRNA from 1 species
GACGAAGGAUGCAAGCGUUAUCCGGAUUCAUUGGGUUUAAAGGGAGCGUAGGUGGCCUUAUAAGUCAGUGGUGAAAUCCCGCAGCUUAACUGUGGAAUUGCCAUUGAUACUGUAGGGCUUGAGUACAGAUGCCGUUGGCGGAAUAUGACAUGUAGUGGUGAAAUACAUAGAUAUGACAUAGAACACCGAUAGCGAAGGCAGCUUGCUACACAAUUAUUGACACUGAGGCUCGAAAGCGUGGGGAUCAAACAGG